rnacentral:tRNA from 1 species
CGGUAUUUAGCUCAAUGGCACCGCACCUGCCUUGAAAGCAUGAGGUUGUGAGUUCGAUUCCCAGUACCAA